UUUAUAUCCCAAACCGACCCGGAAUUUUCACGUCUUUCUUUCUCAUACAAGAAAAGUGCUUGACAGAACCCAAAAGAAAUGCAAAUUGCUGGCUUCACUCUCUGGUCGAAUCAAAUCGAAGAACGAAAUUGAACAAGUACAUAAAUCUAGGCUAAGUAACUGAAAACGAACUUAACAAAGGAGAAGGAAGUUCCAGAGAGAGAAAGAUUGAGAGAGAAUGGCGGACUAUCACUUUGUAUACAAGGACGUGGAAGGAGCAUCGACGCAAUGGGACGACAUACAGAGAAAGCUAGGGAACCUACCGGCAAAGCCACCGGCGUUCAAGCCAGCACCUUUCACUCCAGCCGAGGACGAAGCCUC